rnacentral:tRNA from 1 species
AGCCUUGUAGUCAAAAAUGAUUCUAAAUUGCAAAUUUGGAGGAGAGAGUAAUCUUUAGGGCUU